rnacentral:tRNA from 2 species
GGGGUUGUAGCUCAGUUGGAUAGAGCGGACGCCUCCUAAGCGUCAGGUCGUGCGUUCGAGCCGCACCAGUCCCGUCA